rnacentral:rRNA from 1 species
GAUGAACGCUGGCGGCGUGCCUAAUACAUGCAAGUCGAGCGAACAGACGAGGAGCUUGCUCCUCUGACGUUAGCGGCGGACGGGUGAGUAACACGUGGAUAACCUACCUAUAAGACUGGGAUAACUUCGGGAAACCGGAGCUAAUACCGGAUAAUAUAUUGAACCGCAUGGUUCAAUAGUGAAAGACGGUUUUGCUGUCACUUAUAGAUGGAUCCGCGCCGCAUUAGCUAGUUGGUAAGGUAACGGCUUACCAAGGCAACGAUGCGUAGCCGACCUGAGAGGGUGAUCGGCCACACUGGAACUGAGACACGGUCCAGACUCCUACGGGAGGCAGCAGUAGGGAAUCUUCCGCAAUGGGCGAAAGCCUGACGGAGCAACGCCGCGUGAGUGAUGAAGGUCUUCGGAUCGUAAAACUCUGUUAUUAGGGAAGAACAAAUGUGUAAGUAACUAUGCACGUCUUGACGGUACCUAAUCAGAAAGCCACGGCUAACUACGUGCCAGCAGCCGCGGUAAUACGUAGGUGGCAAGCGUUAUCCGGAAUUAUUGGGCGUAAAGCGCGCGUAGGCGGUUUUUUAAGUCUGAUGUGAAAGCCCACGGCUCAACCGUGGAGGGUCAUUGGAAACUGGAAAACUUGAGUGCAGAAGAGGAAAGUGGAAUUCCAUGUGUAGCGGUGAAAUGCGCAGAGAUAUGGAGGAACACCAGUGGCGAAGGCGACUUUCUGGUCUGUAACUGACGCUGAUGUGCGAAAGCGUGGGGAUCAAACAGGAUUAGAUACCCUGGUAGUCCACGCCGUAAACGAUGAGUGCUAAGUGUUAGGGGGUUUCCGCCCCUUAGUGCUGCAGCUAACGCAUUAAGCACUCCGCCUGGGGAGUACGACCGCAAGGUUGAAACUCAAAGGAAUUGACGGGGACCCGCACAAG